AACACCGAAGUUAAGCAGCGUAGAGCCAGGUCAGUACAUAGAUGGGGGACCGCUUGGGAACACCUGGUACUGUAAG